rnacentral:rRNA from 1 species
AACGAACGCUGGCGGCAGGCCUAACACAUGCAAGUCGAGCGCCCCGCAAGGGGAGCGGCGGACGGGUGAGUAACGCGUGGGAACGUACCCUUUGCUACGGAAUAGCCUCGGGAAACUGGGAGUAAUACCGUAUGUGUCCUUCGGGAGAAAGAUUUAUCGGCAAGGGAUCGGCCCGCGUUGGAUUAGGUAGUUGGUGGGGUAAUGGCCUACCAAGCCGACGAUCCAUAGCUGGUUUGAGAGGAUGAUCAGCCACACUGGGACUGAGACACGGCCCAGACUCCUACGGGAGGGAGCAGUGGGGAAUCUUAGACAAUGGGCGCAAGCCUGAUCUAGCCAUGCCGCGUGAGCGAGGAAGGCCUUAGGGUUGUAAAGCUCUUUCAGGGGGGAAGAUAAUGACUGUACCCCCAGAAGAAGCCCCGGCUAACUCCGUG